AUUGAACGCUGGCGGCAGGCCUAACACAUGCAAGUCGAACGGUAACAGGAAGAAGCUUGCUUCUUUGCUGACGAGUGGCGGACGGGUGAGUAAUGUCUGGGAAACUGCCUGAUGGAGGGGGAUAACUACUGGAAACGGUAGCUAAUACCGCAUAACGUCGCAAGACCAAAGAGGGGGACCUUCGGGCCUCUUGCCAUCGGAUGUGCCCAGAUGGGAUUAGCUAGUAGGUGGGGUAACGGCUCACCUAGGCGACGAUCCCUAGCUGGUCUGAGAGGAUGACCAGCCACACUGGAACUGAGACACGGUCCAGACUCCUACGGGAGGCAGCAGUGGGGAAUAUUGCACAAUGGGCGCAAGCCUGAUGCAGCCAUGCCGCGUGUAUGAAGAAGGCCUUCGGGUUGUAAAGUACUUUCAGCGGGGAGGAAGGGAGUAAAGUUAAUACCUUUGCUGAUUGACGUUACCCGCAGAAGAAGCACCGGCUAACUCCGUG
rnacentral:rRNA from 1 species